AAUUCACAAGUCAACGAUGGAAGCUGCUUCUUCUACUUCUCAUCCUUACAUAUUCAUUUCAAUGGCUUCCCUUUCAUUCACGACUUCUAUUUCACCCUUUUCCCCUCCUUAUAUUUCUUCCCCAUUCACAUUUCUUCCAUUAAUUUCCCAAAAUGAGUAAACCUUUCAACUUCUCCUUUCUCAUUCCCUUCCUUCUAAUGCUCUCCUUCUUUCGUCUCCCUAUCCAAUCAUCAGCUGAUCCUAGAGCCACUGAGGCGGCGCUAAUAUGUUCCAACAACACCGCUUCGCCGGCGGAGCGAUCGACCUUCGUGGCGAAUUUUUUGGACUCUAUGGAUGCUGUUACUCCACUUAUUGCUUCACAGCGAUUUGCUGCCGUUAUAAAUGGGACUGGAAAUACGACUGUUUAUGCUUUUGGGGAGUGUAUGAAUGAUCUUUCUCAAGCGGAUUGCGAUCUUUGUUUUGCCCAGAUGAAAACUCAGGUCCUGCGGUGUCUUCCAUUUCAGCUUGCUACUCGUGGGGGUAGGUUGUUCUAUGAUGGGUGUUUUGUUAGGUAUGAUUAUUAUAAUUUCUUUAACGAAUCUUUGAGUGCUGUGGAUAGGACUGUAUGUGGGAAAUUGGAUUAUAGUGGGAAUCGGAGUGUUUUUAGUGAUUCAGCGAUGAAAUUGGCGAGGAAUUUGAGUGUUGUAGCGCCAAAGAAUGAUGGGUUUGCUGUAGGAUCGGUGGAUUUUAGGAAUGUGUCUGUUUAUGGAUUGGGUCAGUGUUGGAAAUUUGUGAGAGGGAGUUCUUGUUCCAAGUGUUUGGUUGAUGCAGCUAAGGAAAUUGGUUCUUGUCCUCCAAAAAGUGAAGGAAGGGUGUUGAAUGCUGGCUGUUACUUCAGAUAUUCAACUGAAAAAUUUUAUUUCAACACCACUGCAACCGCCACUGGAGGAAAUAACAGUCGUCGUCUGGCGAUAAUUUUGGCUUCAGUAUCUGCAGCCGUGGCUGCUGCAUUGAUUAUUUCAACGGUCCUUUUCUGUGCCAGAAGGAGAGUCUUGAGGAAGCGCAACGAGAAAAGGCAACUGGGGCCUCUUGUGGCUAUUGUUAACAAGUCCAAGCUUAAUUUUUCAUAUGAGACCCUUGAGAAGGCCACAAAUUACUUUGACCAAUCCAAUAAACUGGGACAAGGAGGUUCCGGUUCAGUUUAUAAAGGAACUCUAUCAGAUGGUAGAGUUGUAGCGAUCAAGAGGCUUUUCUUCAAUACAAGACAAUGGGUGGACCAUUUCUUCAAUGAAGUAAAUCUUAUUAGCGGCAUCCGACAUAAAAAUCUUGUAGGCCUGCUUGGAUGCAGUAUUACGGGCCCUGAAAGCCUCCUUGUUUAUGAAUAUGUGCCCAAUCAGAGCUUGCACGAUUACCUUUUUGGUAACAAGAACGUCCAGCCACUGAGUUGGCAAUCGAGAUUUAAGAUUGUCUUAGGUACAGCUGAAGGCUUGGCUUAUCUCCAUGAGGAGUCGAAUGUGAAAAUCAUUCAUCGUGACAUAAAAUUAAGCAAUAUUCUGCUGGAUUAUGAUUUUACCCCAAAGAUUGCUGAUUUUGGACUUGCUAGACUGCUUCCUGAAGAUAAGACACACAUUAGUACUGCAAUUGCUGGCACACUAGGUUAUAUGGCACCAGAAUAUGUAGUUCGUGGCAAGUUAUCAGAAAAGGCAGACGUUUAUAGUUUUGGAGUUUUUGCCAUCGAAGUUAUCACUGGAAGAAGAAAUGGUCACUUCUAUCAAGAUUCAACGUCCAUCUUACAAAAGGUAUGGAAUCUUUAUGGAGAGGGAAGGCUAUAUGCAGCUGUUGAUCCAAUCCUUGCGGGUGAUUAUCCACGAGACGAAGCAUCUCGGUUGCUUCAAAUAGGUCUAGUUUGUGUGCAAGCCUUUGCAGACCUACGGCCAUCCAUGUCAAUGGUUGUGAAAAUGCUUACAGCAAAUUACGAGAUUCCCCAGCCAAAACAGCCUCCAUAUCUUCAUCCUUCAAGUGGAAGCAUGAAACCUCAGAAUUCCUCAGACUCAUCCAAUCCCAAUUUGUAUUACAACUCACGGACCUCUCAAAAUAGCAUGACCCAAAGCAUUAUCGACCCUAGAUAAGUUGAGUUCCCAUGCAAUCGUUCCAUAUCUUGUAUAUAUAACAUACUAUUUUAAAUCCCAAAUCCAGGUAUCACCUAACAGCCUCAAUCUCAUCCCUCGUCGAGUACACCAUCAAAAAUAAGAAACAUAACAUUCUAAUCCGAUCAAUUUCGUGAACGCCAGGGAAGAACUAUGACAAUCAAGUUAGUAUAGUGGAGAGAGAGUUUGUCCUCUCUGAAGAAUCUACCAGAAGAAAGACCAUCCAUUCCUUCAAACUGCAUAUUCUCUGAUGGCUUCCAGUGGCGUUUUCUCUGAUUUAUGAACCAAUUGUUAAUUUGCUUUUGGUCAAGCCCCGUUCUCUCUGCCAAUGCUACUUUAUCGGCUUCCUAUACAUUAUUAAAAUGCAGUGGUUAUAUUGUCUUCAACAUAGAACACAAAUAAUAAAAUAUUAUGAAUUGCAUCUAUAAAUUAAAGUUUGUAAAUUAUUAAGUCAAGUUAGUGUUCAA